UACAAGGCCUUUUCAAAUGGCAUUGUGCAAGACUGCUUUUAGUCAGAAUGAGUGCUGUACAAGGUCAGGAAAAGGGAGUAAAGUGUGGUGACUGAAGAGAGAAGCCGCAAACAAACACACAAGAUCAGACAUCACUGGACUCUCUCUUGCUUUCCAUACACAGUCCCCAUCGGAUGCGGGCUGCUGUUCUUCGGUGUCUUCCAGCCAGGACACAUUGUCUGUGCUGUGUAGUUCAAGGUGUACAGAGAUCAAGAGGCAAAGAGUAGGAAAGCCCCCACCUCCUCCCCAAGAUGCUGGCAAAAGUCCACAAUUAGAGGUGCGGAGAGCAGAUGGGGAGGGUCCACGGCGGUGCAUGUGUGUACCAGGAUCUGGUCCUGCAGAGGUGCUGAGCUGUGUGCUAAGCCAGCAGAGUACCUGGGUCUCCGCGGCUGGCACCCCAAGUGUCAGCUGUGCUGGCGGCCACGGUCCCGAGACUGAGGCUGCAGCCCGCAGCCCGCGUGGGGGCGCUUCGUUCUGCGCAAGCGGCAGCGACCUGCCCGGCGCCGCCUCCGCCCGCCCCCCACAGUGGCCCAACUUGGACAGAGUUGUAGAGCUGAGUGUCUGCCCCCUCCGCUAGCCGAAAGCGGAGAGCCCGGCGCCGCUGCUUGGGGUCUGGGAUCCCCUCUCCUUCCCUGGGAUGGGAGACGUAGACACCCACCGCGGGUCCCUGGCCGCGCUGAGCGCUCUCCUGCCGGCGCUGGGCUCCAGAAGCUCUGCGUACCUGGGUUCAGCUACUCCUCAUGAUCCUGGGCCCCAGCCCAGGAGCCCCUCUUUGGUAGCUGCGAGGUGAGCUCUUGCUAUUCCUCUCCUCUCCCAGAGGGCCGCCAGCCGGGAUCUGGGAGGGAGCAAGCAGGAGCCCUAAAGAACUCGAAGCCUGUGGGACCAUGGGAGUCUGGAACCAGGAGCCAGGGUAAGGAAAAGCCACGGGCCUCGGAGCCUAGGUUGGCAAACAGCCUGCUAGCAACGGUGACAAGAAGCUGUUUGCAAUAAGGAGAUUGCAGCUUUGAUGUGACCACAACAGCCUAUAUUUUCUGAGCACCUAAUCUGUCCCAGGUGCUGAUCUAGGAGUGCAUAUGAAGUGGUAUAAGUUAUGAACAUUCGUUGAGACAGUAGAAGAUGCACAUCCUCUGAAUGUCAAGAGCACUAAAGAAGUGAAGAAACUGUGUAGAAGGCAUCUGUUCUCUGGUGGGAAAUGGGCCAAACAAUAUCCUUGAAGUGGAACCAGACUCCACUGCAUGUCACCAUUACUCCUGAGGAGCCCGGCUCUGCUCUGAUCACAGGGGUGCAGUAGUCCAAAGGCUGACAAGAAACAAAGUUUUCAGCGGACACAACAUCUUUGUAUGUGGUGCUGAGGAUCGAACCCGGGCCGCAUGCAUGCCAGAACUGAGAAGCAUCAGCAGCCACAACUAUAAUUCAGAGCCAAACUUCCAGAAACGAAGGAUGGACAAAGCCUCCCCUCUCAGGCCCCUUCUUUGACCCUGGAUUUCUCAGGUAGAGAAAUUCCACAUACUCCUUAAGAGGGACAGAGCUGGGAGCACAGGGUUUUCUGGGAAAACCAGCGGCAGAGGCUCCCUGCUUCUCUACAAGACACUUAUCUCUUCUUACUCAGGGAACCAAUAUUUUCUCCAACCAAGUGGGAGUCCAUGGGCUUUCCCUUCUAUUUGAGUACCCAUCCAGCCUCAGACCCAGUCGACCAAUGGGAAACUGUGUGGGCUUUUCUAAGCCCUCUGUGGGAACUCAAAGUAAGUCUCAGUGGAGAAAAUGUAGGAUUGGCCUGUGGUCUAAGUUGUAACCCUGUCUCUUAUAAAAUUGUGGUAUCAGAUGAAAUAUGAAUUUAGUCCCUGAAAAGUGUAGACUUGUCACAAAGGCAUGAUUAACGGGAAGUCAUCAUGAUUGCUUCCUGUCUACCAUUCAGGGGUCUGUCUGCCUGAAUCAUUGUAAAAGUUGUUCAUAUUCUGGCUUCAUAUGUGUGUGUGUGUGUGUGUGUGUGUGUGUGUGUGUGUGUGUAUAAAGGCUCCACCCUCAUAUCAUUAGUUUCAAUCAGUCGUUCUGCCAAUGUCUAAUUGUAUGACAGUAAACAUUCACAUAAUCUCUAAGCCCAAAUUUUCUCAUUUACAUGCUUACCACGCAUUCUUGCUCAAAUAAAAUCUCAGCUUUAAUUCUGGAACCUCAGGGUCUCAAAGCUAGGUGGGAAGCUUGUAUGUCAUCUGACAUGGCCUUUACCUGCUGCCGGCACUCACCUCUCACCAGCCUCGAAAACAAAUGAUCCUGCAUCUUCAGAUUGAAACUGACCUGGCUGUGAGCUAUCUCCCUCAGGAGUUCUGAUUGGUAGGAAGUUCUUUAUUGUGGUAAGAUGAACUCUAUACCCUCUAGUAACUUUUACCUGUUGAUAUCUGUGUUACCUCUGGAUCCAUUAACCUAAUUUAAUCACGACAUUGAAUAAUUCUGUAAAUGCCAUUACAUUUUUUUUUUUUUUUAUGUAAUCACUCAGCUCCUUUGCUGGCUCCACCUUUGGAGAUUCUGAUCUGGGUGGAGUCAUAAAACAGCAUCAAGUAUUUCUAAACAUUUCCAAGUGUUCUUGUCGAAUUGUUCUGAUGAUUCCCCCAGAGGCAUAAAUUCUACUGCCAUGACUGGAAGAGCAGGUGUCUUAAACUUGGAUUAUUUUAUUUUAUUUGGAAGUGAUUGCUCCUUAUUCUGACCUUCAUUUAUUUUUUUUAUUCUAAAGAAAAAAAGAUGAAUACAAUUUUAGAAGAGAACUUGAAAGCUUCUGAGUAACAAAAUGAAAGUCAUUUGUAACUCAACUAUUUGUAAAAAUAUAAAUAAAUAUUUUAAAUAUAAAUAAAUAUUUUAUGCCUUGUAUCUGGAUCAUGUUUCAGUAUAUGUAUUUAUAUGCAAUUGUUGAAACUGGCAGUCCAUGUGGUUCUAGGUGCUAACCUGGUACUGAGCAUUAUGUUGUCUUUUGAUAAGUAUUAUCAUAAUGGUUGCAUCAAAAUAUUUUGUUGAAUGAAUGCACCAUAAUUUACUUAAUGAAUCCUUGAUUGUAAUCGCCACUUUGGGUUCAGUUUUUAGGAACACCAAGGCUAUUUUCUUUGAAGAGUGGAAAUAUGAGAAAAGGUAAUGUCUGUAGGUUCCCAUCACAAAAUAUUUUUUUUCCCAAGUGUUAAAAUAAACCCUUCACCUUUUUUUUUCUUUUCUUUUCUUAAAUUAGAGUCACUAGGGCAAGUGUGUCCAAUCCUGUUGGAGCUGGAAAGUUGAAAACACAGGUUGAUGUGCAUGUGUGUGUGUGUAAAUUGUACUUCCCAAAUUUAAGCUUACAGUAUCAUAUUGGUGAUGUCUGUGACAAACAAGACUUCUUUGGUUUGUCCCUUUUACGGAUUCAAAAGGCCCACCCAGGGCUGGAACAACCUUUUCCUCUGAUAUUAAGAAUUUUCUUGGAAAUCACUGUCUCUCUGUGUCAGGAAGAAAGCUUUUAAUGCACUUGAACCCAGAGCAGAAAUCAAAAUAUUCCAAGUGUGCCUUGUGUUGACAUAAUUUGGAUCCACUUAUUUAUAGGCACAUCACCCUGGUGGCACAAAGGUUCCACCUCAUAUGAUCAGAUCAGUCCCCCAGGGUUACUGUUAAGAGUGGCAGUAUCCUCUCUACUCUGUAAACAUCAUCAAUUCUAGUUAUGUUCUUCAUGUGUCCAUUAAAAAAGGUGGAUGAGAGCUACCAAGAUGACUCCCUGGUUUUGGUAAUGAGGUACCCAUAUCGGGUGGGCAGAUCCUCCUCAUGGUUGACUAUGAUAAGUAAGAGAGAAACAUUUUGCUUCUCCUUUCCCACGCUAUAACUUUAAUAGCUAGGAAGGCCAGGACCUUUUAACUACUAACUUUGGUUCAAAUACAAAGAAAAAUGAUUAUCGAGAUUGAUCUUAUGAUAUAUCAGGGAUGAGAGAAGCCAUGCAGACUAGGAGGAAAGGGUAGUAAUGGCCAACCUUAUCUAUAGUUCAUAUAUUUAAAAUUCAGAACUGUGGACAUCCUGAAUCGAAAAGUUUUUGGCCAAUCAAAAUCAAAAUCAGCUUCUCAAAAAGAGAAAAGACACUCUGCUCAUAGAAUGGAACCACCAUAAUCUGUCAGUGAAUUUCUUAGCACAAACAUUGUAGGCUAGGAGAGAGUGGGAUGAUAUAUUCCGUGUACCGAAAGAAAAAAAGAAAACAUUCUGCAAGCCAAGAAUACCAUGUUUAACAAGACUGCCCUUCACAAAUGGAAGCAAGAUAAUGCUAUUCCCAGAUAAACAAAAGGUGAGGAAGUUCAUCACCUGUAAACCUGCCUUACAAGAAAUGUUAGAGUGAGUUCUUAUAGAGGAAAUGAAAGGAUUCUAUUUAGUCAUAUGAAAAUAUAUGUAAGUAUAAAAUUCUGGUAAAUAUAUAAUGCAUUUCAGAAUAUUUAAUUCUAUAUUGGUAGUAUAUAAAUCACUUUUGUAUAAAGAUUAAAAUACAAGUAUUAUAAAUACUUAUAGCUAUAAUAAUUUGUUAAUGGAUAGAAAAUACAUAAAAGAUCUGAGUUGUGACUUUAACACGUAAAAUAUUGUUGAGAGCCACAGCCAAGUCGGGAUGGCGCGCCUGGCAUUGC